CGAUCAUCAAUCGUUUGCAACUCGCCAGCGUUUUGUGUGUCACUCCAGAUCCCAGCAGCGGCUGUAUCUGUGUCUGCAGGGAGAUGGGAUUAGUUACGAAUGACAUCAGGCAUUGUAGUGCAGCUGCUAAGUUAACAAAUUUCGCGACACAUGCUGGUGAUAAUAAACCUGAGUCUGACAUUGAAUGCUGAGCUGCAGUCAAUAAGGAGUAUCCUGAUGGAUGUACAGAUGUUCCAGGGUUGAAUGAAGAGCUAAAGACUUGGCAUCUGCUGUGGACCUGUUGCUUCAGUAGGCAAAAUGGAAUGGAUCAAAGUUGCAAACAGGCAGGAGUUGAUAUGUUUCAUCACCAAGCUCUGACACUUCACCACUGUGGAUGUACAGCCCCAUUCCCCUGUUUUCUCCCCAUAAAUUUUGAUGCUGGAUCCAAUCAAAAACUGAUCAAGCUCAGCCUUAAAUACCACCUGGCUGGAGGAGAGAAGAGAAGAUUGCGGUGCGAUGCAGUGCGCGCGGCCGUUCCGAAUGAAUAUCGUAUGUGUAACUAGGGGGCCAUGCACAAUCCAGAUUUGAUGGAGACAGCCGUGAGAAGCACGGGGAAACACCUGGAGUAACUUCUAAAAUGCCUGCUUCACUGCUGCUGCUACUGUGCGAUCGAGAAUCUCCGGAGGGGAAAGCCCCAAAUCCUCGGCUUUGCCUAUUGCCUGUUACUGGGGCCGGGGUCGAAGCGCUCGGCAGAGACGAUGCUCGGUGCUCGGUGUCAGAGAGCUGGUCAGAGGCUCGGAGUUUUCAGACGGACUCGGAGUCGCACUGUGGUCGGAUGCUUCCAGUAUGCUGCAUCGGCAAGUUGGCGGCGCCGUAGGUUCACCGUCUGCGUGAGAUGAUGGGACUUUUGAGAGACUUUGAGACUUUUACCAUGCCAUGGUCUGUUCUUAUCAAAUUAUAGUAUUGCUUUGCACUGUUGUAACUAUAUGUUAUAAUUAUGUUGUUUUUGUUAGUUUUUAAGUCGGUUUGUCAUGUGUUUCUAUGAUAUCAUUCUGGAAAAACAUUGCAUCAUUUCUUAAUGCAUGCAUUACUAAAUGACAAUAAAA